AAAUAAUAUGAAAAUAUAAUCAGCCCAAUAUUAAAGAGACUUGAAUUUAAAACCUCCUCUUCAUUCUACGACCUCAACUUUGAUUAAUUUGACCACUAGACUAAGGCCUCAUUGGUGACCAUUUAUUUGUAUUUCCUUUGUUUCUUGAGCAGACAUACACUGCACAUCAGCAAUUGAAAGUAUGCAAGUCUAAUGAAGCUUGAAAAUUUGAAACAGCUCCUUUUGGAGAAGAAUAUCUAGAAAUUAUAACCAAUGAAGUCAAAUAAUGAAUGACAUAUUAUAUGACUUUGCAAAAUUUAAAUGGUCAAAGCUUUACAACAAUGGAAAUGAGUUAAAAAUGUACAUAGCCAACACAAUCUGCGAUUACAUACCUUCUGUUUAUUAUUUUGGCAUAAAGAGUAAUUGGCUGUAGCUUCUAAAUUACUUUCAACUUCAUAGAAACAAAUUGCACCAUAAUUUAGAAUGAUAAGGAGGGGAAAGAAAUACAAAAUAAAAUUACCCUACAAGCAACUCGGUGCUUCUAUGAACUUUGCAGCAGCAGCCAAGCCACUAAGUAUUGCACCUUCUACAUUUGGACUAACACAAAAAUCUCCACAGAUGGCCAGUCUCUUCUUACCAUCCCAGAAGCAUUUUUCUUCUUCGGCUACACUUGCUGCUGGGAAAGCACUUCCCCAUCGAUGAGCCUUUUUGAAAAAUGGUUGCGAGCCAUGGAGUCCAGUUCUUUUAAAUUCUUCCAACAAUUCUUCAGCAACUUUUGCUAAUGUUGCAGUUGACGGCUUCUGAAGUCCAGUUUGAGCAAUUAAAUCACGAGCAUACUUUGCUGUUGAAUGCAAUACCCAUCGUUCACUUGUGGUUGAACGACCAGGCUUGCUGCUGUCACUGUGACCCCAGCUUAAAACUUCAGAAUUUUUGAAUGAGAAGCCUUUUACAGGUAUCUUAACCACCAUGCCAAAAUUCCAUCAGGAUAUAUAAGCCUCGCAAAAUGUGUUAUUUUAUUUGGAAGAUUGAAGAAGAUAUAUAACUACAAUCCAAGGGUCUAAGGACUAAGGGCAAAAGAGGGAAGAACGAAAAAAAGAGGGUGUCGAAGUGAACUCAAGUCAUACAAUCAUAUUACCAAUGUCAUCUAUGCAAAAUUCCGAAGUUCUAAAACUGCUUAGCAGGAAUAUCUUGUAACUUACUGAAGACAAAGGCUCAGUGAAUGCCAGCAUAAGAGCAAAACAUGGAUUAACAGGAAUAUCUUGCAACUUCAUUGCCAAUUCUGGAGCCAAACUCAAAUCAAGGGGCGGUGGACAUCCUGUCACGUCUUUAAAUCUCGUAGAAAAAAUAUUUUUGUCCGAUGCGACCACUCCCUUAAAAGAACCAUGAUUUUGUCCAUCCAUGCCCAUCACCAACCAUGAAUUUUCACUAUCUAACCAGUCCAGCCUCCCAACUCCUAUCCCAAACUUGCUUUCCACUCCAGUCUCAUUGCAUAAUGCUUUACAAAUAGAAUUCAUGCCCGGCACACCAACAUAUCUUUUGCCCAGUCCUUCCUAAAUAAAUUGAUAUCAAAAGUUAUGGCCAUGAUAAAGGCAGAUUAAAAAAAAUGUAUGUCUAGCUCUUUGGUUAUUACCGCGCAUCAAGUAUCUGCUUGAAACUAAAAUUGACAUUAGACAGUUUAGGCACAAUGACAGGCUACAUGCUUACUAAAAUUUUAUGGGAUUAUUCAAUGCUCCAGGUGCAAUAGAAAAUAUUGCACAUACUCUCACAUGAACAUGGAAUCCAUCUUCCACAAUUUAUAUGGACCCAACAUUUAUGUGAAUGCAGGGUCAUUAUUUUUUGAUGGAGAUACCUCUCUUACAAUUCAUGGGAUCCAAUCCCCUUAAUAUAAGAAAUAACUGAAAUUAUGUGUGAGAGGCACUAUUUUUCAGGGUUCCGAGUGUAUUUUAUAAAUUUCCUUUUUUAUGCGCCAGGAGUUCUAAAUAAUUGCUCCAUUUUGAGAAUCACACAGUUUUAGGCAAAAGCAAAAAGUUGCGAGCAAAUUAUAUAAGUAAAACUGUUAACACUUUUAGUCAGCAAAAUAUAAAUGUAAAACCAAGCAUUACCUAAUGGGAAACGUCAAUGAUUUAUUGAUAUGCAUGAAUAGCUCUAAACCUGAUCUAUGUCAAGAAAUUUGUUGGAGAGACAAUCGAAAGACCCAAAAUUCUCUUUCCACUCAGCAACAAGACCUUUCAGUUCCCACUCGUGAAGAAGCUUUAACACAUCAGUGUUGCUAAUACUAAAAAAUGGGGCACCAUGAUCGAACAAAAGCUCCUUCCCAUCUUCAGCAAUUUCUCUUCUCUGGGACAUACGGCCUCCAGGGCCUCGGGCUGAUUCGAAGAGGGUGACUGAAACUCCAUUCCUUGCAAGAGUUGAUGCGCAUACAGCUCCAGAUACUGCCUUGACCAUAAAAUUUCACAUAGAGAGCAACAAAAACACACACAGAGACAUGUAUUGAAGAAAGAGAAACAGAGAGAGAGGUGAUACUGACUUCCACUUCCAACCACGGCGACCCUAGUAACAAUGUUGCUCAUGGUGUGUGCUUCACAUACAGAGACAAGAGAGCGAGAAUCAGAGAUCCAAGUCGCUGCUGAAUGCUGAUCGCCUUCGAGUUCGACUAGGAUUGUUUUAACCUUGUUACUUAGGGUCUCUUUGGACGAGGGCGAGGGAGGUGGAAAUAAAGGUAAGUUGGAUAAUUAAUUAUUUUAAGCUUCAGGGAGGAGGAGGAGGAGGGGAGGAGGUGAG
rnacentral:misc_RNA from 1 species